GACGAACGCUGGCGGCGUGCCUAAUACAUGCAAGUAGAACGCACAGUUUAUACCGUAGCUUGCUACACCAUAGACUGUGAGUUGCGAACAAGUGAGUAACGAGUAGGUAACCUGCCUGGUAGCGGGGGAUAACUCUUGGAAACACUAGGUAAUAUAGCUUAAUAUUCAUUGUUGCAAAGUAAUUAAUUGACAGGCUCACUUGUACCACUACCAGCUCGACCUGCGUUGUAUUAGCUAGUAGGUGAGGUAACGGAUCUACUAGGCGAAGAUACAUAGCCGACCCUGGAGGGUGAUCGGCCACAAUUGGACUGAGACACGGCCCAGACUCCUACGGGGGGCAGCAGUAGGGAAACUUCGGCAAUGGACGAAAGUCUGACCGAGCAACGCCGCGGGAGUGAAGAAGGGUUUCGGAUCGUAAAGCUCUGUUGUAAUAGAAGAACGGGUGUGAGAGUGGAAAGUUCACACUGUGACGGUAACUUACCAGAAAGGGACGGCUAACUACGUG
rnacentral:rRNA from 1 species